rnacentral:rRNA from 1 species
CAGCCGCCGCGGUAACACCGGCGGCUCGAGUGGGGGCCACUUUUAUUGGGUCUAAAGCGUCCGUAGCCGGCUUGGCAAGUCCCCUGGGAAAUCUGGCGGCUUAACCGUCAGGCGUCCAGAGGAUACUGCCAGGCUUGGGACCGGGAGAGGUGAGAGGUACCUCAGGGGUAGGGGUGAAAUCUUGUGAUCCCUGAGGGACCACCAGUGGCGAAGGCGUCUCACUAGAAAGGGUCCGACGGUCAGGGACGAACGCUGGGGGCACGAACCGGAUUAGAUACCCGGGUAGUCCCAGCCGUAAACGAUGCUCGCUAGGUGUCAGGCAUGGCAUGACUGUGCCUGGUGCCGAAGGGAAGCCGUGAAGAGAGCCACCUGGGAAGUACGGCCGCAAGGCUGAAACUUAAAGGAAUUGGCGGG